GCCAAUAAGAAGGGUCGCUUUAAUGACUGAUAACUCUGUAUGCAAUAGGAACAAGGGAAUAAAGCAAGUGGGCGUGGCGAGGCAAUCCAGCGGCCGGGGCACGGUGGUCCUGAUGGGAGCAUGUUAUCGCUUGGCCGUGCCUUCCUGUGGCGGGGAGAGGCGCGCUACUGAGUCUGGCGACUCACGGACUCGUUAUCCUACAUUUACAUAAGUGUUUAUAUUCCGACUGCGCUCUCGUGCCUUAAAUCAGGCAACCCAUUCACAAUAAAGCUGGACACAGGCCAACAUUAACCAACAUUUCAGCCACUCCAGAAUGUGAAGGUUAGCCUAUCCAGAAUGAUGUGCAUGUGUAACACGUGUACCUGUUAAUUCCACCCCCCAGGCGAAUCCAGUCACUAAGGACGAAGACAGAUGGGGAGUUUUGCCGCCCGUGUGAAAUCUCUUUUUCUGCAGGUAGAAAAUACCUGCCCUCCCAGAUCUGUUGGAAUUACUUCAUCUAAAUCACUUCCAGUGAUCUCAGCAAUAACAUCUGAUGUUGCACACGCGGGUGCCAUGCCUGUGCCAGCCUUCCUCACUCCAGUUCCCAGAGGACUUCUGGUAGUUAUCUGCUUUGCGGCAGGUGUGAUCUAAUUCCCAUAUAGCCAGCUGUGCCAUGUUCUGCAGGGAUAACCUUAAAUCCUGGUUUGUUGACCUGAUUAGUAGUUCCAGAGGACACAGGCACUGAUUCACCUCCUUACAGAAUGUGUUAGUUUUACUCUUCAUGUCUCCUUGUUACCCCUGAAAGGUGACUUGAGCAAUAAAAAUCAAUUUAAUACCAGA